CUAAUACCGCAUGACAUAUCGGAACCACAUGGUUUUGAUAUCAAAGAUUUUAUCGCUUGAAGAUGGACUCGCGUCCGAUUAGUUAGUUGGUGAGGUAACGGCUCACCAAGACCGCGAUCGGUAGCCGGACUGAGAGGUUGAACGGCCACAUUGGGACUGAGACACGGCCCAGACUCCUACGGGAGGCAGCAGUGGGGGAUAUUGCGCAAUGGGGGCAACCCUGACGCAGCAACGCCGCGUGAAGGAUGAAGGUUUUCGGAUUGUAAACUUCUUUUAUUAAGGACGAAAAUUGACGGUACUUAAUGAAUAAGCUCCGGCUAACUACGUGCCAGCAGCCGCGGUAAUACGUAGGGAGCAAGCGUUGUCCGGAUUUACUGGGUGUAAAGGGUGCGUAGGCGGCUUUGCAAGUCAGAUGUGAAAUCUAUGGGCUCAACCCAUAAACUGCAUUUGAAACUGUAGAGCUUGAGUGAAGUAGAGGCAGGCGGAAUUCCCCGUGUAGCGGUGAAAUGCGUAGAGAUGGGGAGGAACACCAGUGGCGAAGGCGGCCUGCUGGGCUUUAACUGACGCUGAGGCACGAAAGCGUGGGUAGCAAACAGGAUUAGAUACCCUGGUAGUCCACGCUGUAAAC
rnacentral:rRNA from 1 species